rnacentral:misc_RNA from 1 species
AUUUCGAAUUGGAGCCCUUUUUUUUUUUUUUUUUUUGGCUAAACUUUUUUUUCUUCCCAAAUCAAUUGGGGGACGAAAACUAAAAGCUGCAUUAUACAAAGGCAACACUCAGAAAAUUCCUUCCAUCAAACCCCAAACAACUCGAUUGAAUGAGAUCUCACACUUAACACGCCAGUAUAGAAAUGUUACAAGUCACACCUUGAUAGGGUCAUAUUUCUCACCCAUAACACCACCUUUUUGUUUCUGGAACUGAAUGUACCUAAUUGUGCUGGCAAAGAAAGCACUUGCUGCUGGAUCAGGGGUAGUAGAAUCACUUUGCAUUUCAGUAUUAAUUAAUUCUAUCAAGCUCUGGAUGGCAGAACUAGUAAUCUGUGGGUUUGCUUUUUCAAAGAAGUACAGAUACUUGUUCAAUAUUUCAACAAAGAGUAUAACUGGUCCACCGCUGCCUCUUGUAACAGUGGCCAUUUGCUGUGCGGCGUUUGCAAUCCUCAAGGCACGCUUAAGACAAAGUAGGACCCUUUCUCCAUCCUUGAUGCCAUCCAGAUCAUCAACCCAAAAUAGAUGUGAACAUGCAUAAACUGCUCUGCAUUGAUCAGGUUUCUUCAAAAGCUUUGCAGAAUAUCCAGUGGCCUUGUGUGUUAAGGUAUCCCUGUUCUCUACACCAAAUACAUUCAUCCUCUGGAGAGUACCAAUA